GCUGGCGGCGUGCCUUAUGCAUGCAGUCGAACGGUCAUUUAUCGAGAUAGUGGCGAACGGGUGAGUAGCGCGUAAGUAACCUACCCCUAAGUAAAGGAUAACUGAGAAAUUAGAGCUAAUACUGUAUGUGGUGGUGGAGAUAAUGCUUCACCACUAAAGCCUUCGGGCGCUCAGGGAGGGGCUUGCGUCCGAUUAGCUAGUUGGUAGGGUAAAGGUCUACCAAGGCGAUGAUCGGUAGCUGGUUUGAGAGGACAUUCAGCCACACUGGGAUUGAGAUACGGCCCAGACUCCUACGGGAGGCAGCAGCAAGGAAUUUUGUGCAAUGGGCGAAAGCCUGACACAGCGACGUCGUGUGGGGGAUGAAGGCCCUCGGGUUGUAAACCCCUUUUCUCAGGGAAGAAUAAUGACGGUACCUGAGGAAUAAGUCGUGGCUAACUACGUGCCAGCAGCCGCGGUAAUACGUAGGCGGCAAGCGUUAUCCGGAUUUACUGGGCGUAAAGAGGACGUAGGCGGUCUUUCAAGUCGAUUGUAAAAUCUCCCGACUUAAUUGGGAGAAGCCAGUCGAUACUGUUAGACUAGAGAGCAGCAGGGGGAGGUAGAAUUCCCGGUGUAGUGGUGGAAUACAUAGAUAUCGGGAGGAAUACCAGUGGCGAAGGCGGCCUCCUAGGCUGUUUCUAACGCUGAGGUCCGAAAGCGUGGGGAGCGAACAGACUUAGAUACUCUUUAGUCCCGCUGUAAACGAUGGACACUAGGUAUAGGGAGACGACCCUCUCUGUGCCGAAGCUAACGCAUUAAUUCCCGCCUGGGACUACGGCCGCAAGGCUAAAACUCAAGAUGAAGUUGAGACCG
rnacentral:rRNA from 1 species